rnacentral:rRNA from 1 species
AUUGAACGCUGGCGGCAGGCCUAACACAUGCAAGUCGAACGAGUGGCGGACGGGUGAGUAAUGUCUGGGCAACUGCCUGAUGGAGGGGGCUAACUACUGGAAACGGUAGCUACUACCGCAUACCCUCAGAUGUGCCCAGAUGGGAUUAGCUUGUUGGUGGGGUAACGGCUCACCAAGGCGACGAUCCCUAGCUGGUCUGAGAGGAUGACCAGCCACACUGGAACUGAGACACGGUCCAGACUCCUACGGGAGGCAGCAGUGGGGAAUAUUUCACAAUGGGCGCAAGUCUGACGCAGCCAUGCCGCGUGUGUGAAGAAGGCCUUCGGGUUGUAAAGUACUGUCAGCGGGGAGGCGUUACCCGCAGAAGAAGCAACGGCUAACUCCGUGCCAGCAGCCGCGGUAAUUC